GUAACAAGGUUUCCGUAGGUGAACCUGCGGAAGGAUCAUUACCGAGUGCAGGCCUCGCCCCACAGGCAGGCCUAACCUCCCACCCGUGAAUACCUGACCAACGUUGCUUCGGCGGUGCGCGCCCCCUUCCCGGGGGGCGUAAGCCGCCGGGGACCACACCGAACUUCUUGUUUUUAGCGUGUCGUCUGAGCUUGAUACAAGCAAACCUAAUUAAAACUUUCAACAAUGGAUCUCUUGGUUCCGGCAUCGAUGAAGAACGCAGCGAACUGCGAUAAGUAAUGUGAAUUGCAGAAUUCAGUGAAUCAUCGAGUCUUUGAACGCACAUUGCGCCCCCUGGCAUUCCGGGGGGCAUGCCUGUCCGAGCGUCAUUGCUGCCCUUCAAGCCCGGCUUGUGUGUUGGGUCGUCGUCCCCCCCGGGGGACGGGCCCGAAAGGCAGCGGCGGCACCGCGUCCUGGUCCUCGAGCGUAUGGGGCUUUGUCACCCGCUCGUUUAGGGCCGGCCGGGCGCCAGCCGGCGUCUCCAAACCUUUUAUUUUACCAGGUUGACCUCGGAUCAGGUAGGGAUACCCGCUGAACUUAAGCAUAUCA
rnacentral:misc_RNA from 1 species